rnacentral:lncRNA from 1 species
AGUGUAUAAUUGUACUUGUAUGUUAAAGGGGUAAAUGGAUAGACCAUUGGGUACAUAAUCUAAAUACAAAUUCAGAUGUCAUACAACAACUCUGAAAGAAUCAGUCUCUGGGUUUUGACAAUAUACCAUGUUAGAUAUCAUCAUGUGAAGAGAUGAGUAAAAGCUACUCCAGAAUUAUGUGAACUACAUCUGCCAUUAUGUGCACAGGGAUGUAGAAUUGAAAAUAGCAACCAUUCUGCUGGUGGAUUUCAUGGCUCUUCUGAACACAGACAUUAAGGCCAGUAAAGGGCUCUCUCCAAGGGGUUCCUGCUAUCCCUCCUGUUUGGUUUUAUAGUUAUUUGAGGG